CAAUAGCGUAUAUUAAAGUUGUUGCGGUUAAAAAGCUCGUAGUUGGAUUUCUGCCGAGGACGACCGGUCCGCCCUCUGGGUGUGUAUCUGGUUUGGCCUGGGCAUCUUCUUGGAGAACGUAGCUGCACUUGACUGUGUGGUGCGGUGUCCAGGACUUUUACUUUGAGGAAAUUAGAGUGUUUCAAGCAGGCACACGCCUUGAAUACAUUAGCAUGGAAUAAUAAGAUAGGACCUCGGUUCUAUUUUGUUGGUUUCUAGAGCUGAGGUAAUGAUUAAUAGGGAUAGUUGGGGGCAUUCGUAUUUAACUGUCAGAGGUGAAAUUCUUGGAUUUGUUAAAGACGGACUACCGCGAAAGCAUUUGCCAAGGAUGUUUUCAUUGA
rnacentral:rRNA from 1 species